CUUCUAUGACGUUAGCGGCGGACGGGUGAGUAACACGUGGGCAACCUGCCUGUAAGACUGGGAUAACUUCGGGAAACCGAAGCUAAUACCGGAUAGGAUCUUCUCCUUCAUGGGAGAUGAUUGAAAGAUGGUUUCGGCUAUCACUUACAGAUGGGCCCGCGGUGCAUUAGCUAGUUGGUGAGGUAACGGCUCACCAAGGCAACGAUGCAUAGCCGACCUGAGAGGGUGAUCGGCCACACUGGGACUGAGACACGGCCCAGACUCCUACGGGAGGCAGCAGUAGGGAAUCUUCCGCAAUGGACGAAAGUCUGACGGAGCAACGCCGCGUGAGUGAUGAAGGCUUUCGGGUCGUAAAACUCUGUUGUUAGGGAAGAACAAGUACGAGAGUAACUGCUCGUACCUUGACGGUACCUAACCAGAAAGCCACGGCUAACUACGUGCCAGCAGCCGCGGUAAUACGUAGGUGGCAAGCGUUAUCCGGAAUUAUUGGGCGUAAAGCGCGCGCAGGCGGUUUCUUAAGUCUGAUGUGAAAGCCCACGGCUCAACCGUGGAGGGUCAUUGGAAACUGGGGAAC
rnacentral:rRNA from 1 species